CUGAUGGGCGCGUUCGGGUCAAUUGCGGCAUGCAACACCCGAUCUCUCUCGGUGUGCCUCCUUCCAUGGAGGUCGCCGAGGGGGAGCGCGUUGCCGUCAG
rnacentral:ncRNA from 1 species